rnacentral:tRNA from 2 species
GGUUCCGUGGCGGAAUGGCUACGCAGAGGACUGCAAAUCCUUGUAUGGGGGUUCGAUUCCCUCCGGAACCUCCA